UACGAAGGGGGCUAGCGUUGCUCGGAAUCACUGGGCGUAAAGCGCACGUAGGCGGAUUCCUAAGUCGGGGGUGAAAUCCUGGAGCUCAACUCCAGAACUGCCUUCGAUACUGGGAAUCUUGAGUCCGGGAGAGGUGAGUGGAACUGCGAGUGUAGAGGUGAAAUUCGUAGAUAUUCGGAGGAACACCAGUGGCGAAGGCGGCUCACUGGCUCGAUACUGACGCUGAGGUGCGAAAGCGUGGGGAGCAAACAGG
rnacentral:rRNA from 1 species